GCUUCUGAUGAGGUAAUUUGCGAUUGAUUCUACUUCGAUGGCGCUCUCGCCGGAGCUGCUAUAUCGGAUAGAAAACUGAUAGUUAUUUCUUACAUAUUCUGACA
rnacentral:snoRNA from 1 species